UGGGGAAUUUUGGACAAUGGGCGAAAGCCUGAUCCAGCAAUGCCGCGUGUGUGAAGAAGGCCUUCGGGUUGUAAAGCACUUUUGUCCGGAAAGAAAUCCUUGGCUCUAAUACAGUCGGGGGGAUGACGGUACCGGAAGAAUAAGCACCGGCUAACUACGUGCCAGCAGCCGCGGUAAUACGUAGGGUGCAAGCGUUAAUCGGAAUUACUGGGCGUAAAGCGUGCGCAGGCGGUUUGCUAAGACCGAUGUGAAAUCCCCGGGCUCAACCUGGGAACUGCAUUGGUGACUGGCAGGCUAGAGUAUGGCAGAGGGGGGUAGAAUUCCACGUGUAGCAGUGAAAUGCGUAGAGAUGUGGAGGAAUACCGAUGGCGAAGGCAGCCCCCUGGGCCAAUACUGACGCUCAUGCACGAAAGCGUGGGGAGCAAACAGGAUUAGAUACCCUGGUAGUCCACGCCCUAAACGAUGUCAACUAGUUGUUGGGGAUUCAUUUCCUUAGUAACGUAGCUAACGCGUGAAGUUGACCGCCUGGGGAGUACGGUCGCAAGAUU
rnacentral:rRNA from 1 species